CCGAAAACGUUCACUCAGCAACAGGCAGUUCACCCUACCCCGCCAAAUCUCCACAGAAUACUAGUGUCAGGCGCCCGUCCCUACCCCUCUGUGCCACAAACACCACGCUUAUUCAAGGACUCUACUCCAGCCAAGGGCCGGGCAGAGAGACAUCCAUUUUGGUUCCUGAUUGCUGACCCACGUCAGAGACCAGCAAGUUACAAGAAUAACGAUAUUUACUUAAUUUGGUUUAUCUGGUGCUCAAGUCGGCGAGACAUAUAUAGCCACUUGAGGGGGAACUGUGUUUCGGCGUUGAGUUUUUUUUUUUUUUUUCUGUGUGAACAAUUUAUGCAAUAAAGCAAAGAAAAGUCA